rnacentral:rRNA from 1 species
AGUGAACGCUGGCGAUAGGCCUAACACAUGCAAGUCGAACGGCAGCACAGUAAGAGCUUGCUCUUACGGGUGGCGAGUGGCGGACGGGUGAGGAAUACAUCGGAAUCUACUUUUUCGUGGGGGAUAACGUAGGGAAACUUACGCUAAUACCGCAUACGACCUACGGGUGAAAGCAGGGGAUCUUCGGACCUUGCGCGAUUGAAUGAGCCGAUGUCGGAUUAGCUAGUUGGCGGGGUAAAGGCCCACCAAGGCGACGAUCCGUAGCUGGUCUGAGAGGAUGAUCAGCAACACUGGAACUGAGACACGGUCCAGACUCCUACGGGAGGCAGCAGUGGGGAAUAUUGGACAAUGGGCGCAAGCCUGAUCCAGCCAUACCGCGUGGGUGAAGAAGGCCUUCGGGUUGUAAAGCCCUUUUGUUGGGAAAGAAAAGCAGCAGGUUAAUACCCCGCUGUUCUGACGGUACCCAAAGAAUAAGCACCGGCUAACUUCGUG